rnacentral:rRNA from 1 species
AACGAACGCUGGCGGCAUGCCUAACACAUGCCAGUCGAACGAGACCUUCGGGUCUAGUGGCGCACGGGUGCGUAACGCGUGGGAACCUGCCCUUAGGUUCGGAAUAACUCCCCGAAAGGGGUGCUAAUACCGGAUAAUGUCUUCGGACCAAAGAUUUAUCGCCUUUGGAUGGGCCCGCGUUGGAUUAGCUAGUUGGUAGGGUAAAAGCCUACCAAGGCGACGAUCCAUAGCUGGUCUGAGAGGAUGAUCAGCCACACUGGGACUGAGACACGGCCCAGACUCCUACGGGAGGCAGCAGUGGGGAAUAUUGGACAAUGGGCGAAAGCCUGAUCCAGUAAUGCCGCGUGAGUGAUGAAGGCCUUAGGGUUGUAAAGCUCUUUUACCCGGGAUGAUAAUGACAGUACCGGGAGAAUAAGCUCCGGCUAACUCCGUG